GACGAACGCUGGCGGCGUGCCUAAUACAUGCAAGUUGAGCGCUGAAGGUUGGUACUUGUACCGACUGGAUGAGCAGCGAACGGGUGAGUAACGCGUGGGGAAUCUGCCUUUGAGCGGGGGACAACAUUUGGAAACGAAUGCUAAUACCGCAUAAAAACUUUAAACACAAGUUUUAAGUUUGAAAGAUGCAAUUGCAUCACUCAAAGAUGAUCCCGCGUUGUAUUAGCUAGUUGGUGAGGUAAAGGCUCACCAAGGCGAUGAUACAUAGCCGACCUGAGAGGGUGAUCGGCCACAUUGGGACUGAGACACGGCCCAAACUCCUACGGGAAGCAGCAGUAGGGAAUCUUCGGCAAUGGACGAAAGUCUGACCGAGCAACGCCGCGUGAGUGAAGAAGGUUUUCGGAUCGUAAAACUCUGUUGGUAGAGAAGAACGUUGGUGAGAGUGGAAAGCUCAUCAAGUGACGGUAACUACCCAGAAAGGGACGGCUAACUACGUG
rnacentral:rRNA from 1 species